UACGGAGGGUGCAAGCGUUGCUCGGAAUUAUUGGGCGUAAAGGGUAGGUAGGUGGUCUCAUUUGUCUGGGGUGAAAGCCUUGAGCUUAACUCGAGAAGUGCCCCAGAAACGGUGAGACUGGAGUCCUGGAGAGGGUCGUGGAAUUCCUGGUGUAGCGGUGAAAUGCGCAGAUAUCAGGAGGAACACCGGUGGCGAAGGCGGGUCUCUGGGCAACAACUGACGCUGAGGAGCGAAAGCGUGGGGAGCGAACAGG
rnacentral:rRNA from 1 species